rnacentral:rRNA from 1 species
AAUAGAUACCCAGGUAGUCCACGCCGUAAACGUUGGGCGCUAGAUGUGGGGGCCAUUCCACGGUUUCCGCGUCGUAGCUAACGCAUUAAGCGCCCCGCCUGGGGAGUACGGCCGCAAGGCUAAAACUCAAAGGAAUUGACGGGGGCCCGCACAAGCGGCGGAGCAUGCGGAUUAAUUCGAUGCAACGCGAAGAACCUUACCAAGGCUUGACAUAUACGAGAACACUGCAGAAAUGUAGGACUCUUUGGACACUCGUAUACAGGUGGUGCAUGGUUGUCGUCAGCUCGUGUCGUGAGAUGUUGGGUUAAGUCCCGCAACGAGCGCAACCCUCGUCGCAUGUUGCCAGCACGUAAAGGUGGGAACUCAUGUGAGACUGCCGGGGUCAACUCGGAGGAAGGUGGGGAUGGCGUCAAAUCAUCAUGCCCCUUAUGUCUUGGGCUUCACGCAUGCUACAAUGGCCGGUACAAAGGGCUGCAAUACCGUAAGGUGGAGCGAAUCCCAAAAAGCCGGUCUCAGUUCGGA